rnacentral:rRNA from 1 species
GAUGAACGCUGGCGGCGUGCCUAAUACAUGCAAGUCGAGCGAACGGACGAGAAGCUUGCUUCUCUGAUGUUAGCGGCGGACGGGUGAGUAACACGUGGAUAACCUACCUAUAAGACUGGGAUAACUUCGGGAAACCGGAGCUAAUACCGGAUAAUAUUUUGAACCGCAUGGUUCAAAAGUGAAAGACGGUCUUGCUGUCACUUAUAGAUGGAUCCGCGCUGCAUUAGCUAGUUGGUAAGGUAACGGCUUACCAAGGCAACGAUGCAUAGCCGACCUGAGAGGGUGAUCGGCCACACUGGAACUGAGACACGGUCCAGACUCCUACGGGAGGCAGCAGUAGGGAAUCUUCCGCAAUGGGCGAAAGCCUGACGGAGCAACGCCGCGUGAGUGAUGAAGGUCUUCGGAUCGUAAAACUCUGUUAUUAGGGAAGAACAUAUGUGUAAGUAACUGUGCACAUCUUGACGGUACCUAAUCAGAAAGCCACGGCUAACUACGUGCCAGCAGCCGCGGUAAUACGUAGGUGGCAAGCGUUAUCCGGAAUUAUUGGGCGUAAAGCGCGCGUAGGCGGUUUUUUAAGUCUGAUGUGAAAGCCCACGGCUCAACCGUGGAGGGUCAUUGGAAACUGGAAAACUUGAGUGCAGAAGAGGAAAGUGGAAUUCCAUGUGUAGCGGUGAAAUGCGCAGAGAUAUGGAGGAACACCAGUGGCGAAGGCGACUUUCUGGUCUGUAACUGACGCUGAUGUGCGAAAGCGUGGGGAUCAAACAGGAUUAGAUACCCUGGUAGUCCACGCCGUAAACGAUGAGUGCUAAGUGUUAGGGGGUUUCCGCCCCUUAGUGCUGCAGCUAACGCAUUAAGCACUCCGCCUGGGGAGUACGACCGCAAGGUUGAAACUCAAAGGAAUUGACGGGGACCCGCACAAGCGGUGGAGCAUGUGGUUUAAUUCGAAGCAACGCGAAGAACCUUACCAAAUCUUGACAUUCUUUGACAACUCUAGAGAUAGAGCUUUCCCCUUCGGGGGACAAAGUGACAGGUGGUGCGUGGUUGUCGUCAGCUCGUGUCGUGAGAUGUUGGGUUAAGUCCCGCAACGAGCGCAACCCUUAAGCUUAGUUGCCAUCAUUAAGUUGGGCACUCUAAGUUGACUGCCGGUGACAAACCGGAGGAAGGUGGGGAUGACGUCAAAUCAUCAUGCCCCUUAUGAUUUGGGCUACACACGUGCUACAAUGGACAAUACAAAGGGCAGCGAAACCGUGAGGUCAAGCAAAUCCCAUAAAGUUGUUCUCAGUUCGGAUUGUAGUCUGCAACUCGACUACAUGAAGCUGGAAUCGCUAGUAAUCGUAGAUCAGCAUGCUACGGUGAAUACGUUCCCGGGUCU